GGAAUCUUAGACAAUGGGCGCAAGCCUGAUCUAGCCAUGCCGCGUGUGUGAUGAAGGCCUUAGGGUCGUAAAGCUCUUUCGCCAGGGAUGAUAAUGACAGUACCUGUAGAAGAAACCCCGGCUACUCCG
rnacentral:rRNA from 1 species